UACGUAGGUGGCAAGCGUUGUCCGGAGUUAUUGGGCGUAAAGCGCGCGCAGGCGGUCCUUUAAGUCUGAUGUGAACGCCCACGGCUCAACCGUGGAGGGUCAUUGGAAACUGGGGGACUUGAGUGCAGAAGAGAAGAGUGGAAUUCCACGUGUAGCGGUGAAAUGCGUAGAGAUGUGGAGGAACACCAGUGGCGAAGGCGACUCUUUGGUCUGUAACUGACGCUGAGGCGCGAAAGCGUGGGGAGCAAACAGG
rnacentral:rRNA from 1 species